rnacentral:pre_miRNA from 2 species
UAAUCUCAGUUAGUAAUUCCGAGUGGAUAAGAUAGCCUCAAGUUACUAGCCGAGAUUACA